rnacentral:rRNA from 1 species
UCAGCAUGAACGCGCCCGAUCUCGUCUGAUCUCGGAAGCUAAGCAGGGUUGGGCCUGGCUAGUACUUGGAUGGGAGAGUCUGAU